AGCUUUGUGGUCUAGUGGUAAGGUGUCCGCCGAAGAUGCAGGAGGUCCUAGACUUGAUUCCUGGCUAAGUUG
rnacentral:tRNA from 1 species